GACGAACGCUGGCGGCGUGCUUAACACAUGCAAGUCGAACGGAAAGGCCCUGCUUUCGUGGGGUGCUCGAGUGGCGAACGGGUGAGUAACACGUGAGUAACCUGCUCUUGACUUUGGGAUAACUUCAGGAAACUGGGGCUAAUACCGGAUAGGAGCCCCUGCUGCAUGGAGGGGGUUGGAAAGUUUAGGCGGUUGGGGAUGGACUCGCGGCUUAUCAGCUUGUUGGUGGGGUAGUGGCUUACCAAGGCUGUGACGGGUAGGCGGCCUGAGAGGGUGACCGGCCACAUUGGGACUGCGAUACGGCCCAGACUCCUACGGGAGGCAGCAGUGGGGAAUAUUGCACAGUGGGCGGGAGCCUGAUGCAGCAACGCCGCGUGCGGGAUGACGGCCUGCGGGUUGUGAACCGCUUUCGCCUGUGACGAAGCGUGAGUGACGGUAAUGAGUAAAGAAGCACCGGCUAACUACGUG
rnacentral:rRNA from 1 species